GAUGAACGCUGGCGGCGUGCCUAAUACAUGCAAGUCGAGCGAACAGACGAGGAGCUUGCUCCUCUGACGUUAGCGGCGGACGGGUGAGUAACACGUGGAUAACCUACCUAUAAGACUGGGAUAACUUCGGGAAACCGGAGCUAAUACCGGAUAAUAUAUUGAACCGCAUGGUUCAAUAGUGAAAGACGGUUUUGCUGUCACUUAUAGAUGGAUCCGCGCCGCAUUAGCUAGUUGGUAAGGUAACGGCUUACCAAGGCAACGAUGCGUAGCCGACCUGAGAGGGGGACGGGCAACCUGGGACUUGAGCAACGGCCCAGACCCCUAGGGAAGGCACAGGUGGGAAACCUUCCGAAUGGGGGGAAAGCCGGACGGACAAACGCGGGGUGAGGAAGGAAGGCUUCCGGAUCGAAAAACCCUGUUAUUAGGGAAGAACAAAUGUGUAAGUAACUAUGAAGGUUUGGACGGAACCAAACAAGAAGGCAACGGCUAAUUACGG
rnacentral:rRNA from 1 species